rnacentral:rRNA from 1 species
UACGGAGGGUGCAAACGUUGCUCGGAAUCAUUGGGCGUAAAGCGCGUGUAGGCGGCACGCUAAGUCGAGUGUGAAAGCCCUGGGCUUAACCCAGGAAGUGCGCUCGAAACUGGCGAGCUAGAGUACGGGAGAGGGUAGCGGAAUUCCCGGUGUAGAGGUGAAAUUCGUAGAUAUCGGGAGGAACACCAGUGGCGAAGGCGGCUACCUGGACCGAUACUGACGCUGAGACGCGAAAGCGUGGGUAGCAAACAGG